rnacentral:ncRNA from 1 species
GUUCCAUCCAGAGCGACCGAGAGACCUGGCUCGUCGACGUCGCAGCAACCCUGCGAGGGUGCUUCCGCCAGGAUCGAUGGAGU